AAAGCUGCGACUCCACCCGGAUUUCUCACUCCCCAGGACCCUCUUCACUUCCCCUUUUGAAGUUACUCAUGGGGUCACAGCCACGUGGCUCUCAAGGAGGAAGCAAGCCUUCAUGCUAUGGGACACCCAAAAAGCCCUGUGAAGAGGCUCAUGUGGAGAAUUGAGACACCCUGCCAAGAGCCAGCACCAACUCGCCAGCAAAAUAGGAAUUAUUUGCUGGAAUACAUGGGAAUUCCAUGUGCUAAGAAGAAAGUAUCAUUAUACCUCUUAAG